GAAGUCUCUUUCUCAGUACGUGGGUCACAUCUUUGGAAAGCUCAUUAUAUCUGACAGAGCACAAAGUGCCAAUCUCUUUGACACGACUAUGGAGUACCUCUGCCUUCUCAGCAUUGACAAGGCCCACAACAAAGAUUACACUAUCUUCACCUAAUGAAAACUAAGCAUAUAGGAUUUGCUAAACCGAUAAUUAUUACGCAUGUAAUUCACGCGAGGCGAUUUUUUCUCUCCUUUCUUCUCAGUCUCUUCUUCGUCGAGUUUUUCAGCGGUUCCCUCCGGUGAUGCCGGCACUGUGAGGGAACCCGCGUUUUUCUUCUUCUUUUGAUCCCCGUCUGCUCUUCAAUCGUGGGAAAGAGGGCUUCUCCGUCGAUUCUGGGAAGAGAUCUGAGUGACAAAGGUGAAUCUGGCUCCCGUCUGCGGCGGCUAGUGUGUUCCAGAUCUGGGCUUUGAGGACGUGGUCCGGUGACGGAAUCUUACUCGUUUGUUCAGGCGGUGGUGGCUGGCGUUUGACGCGUCGGUGUGGCGAAGCCUUGGCCUUGGGUCAGAGUUGGGUGAGUGGGUUUGCGGAGGUUUUUGUCGGAUGUGGCUGACUGUGGUAGCGGAGCCGCCCAGGGACAGUGGCAAAGCAAAGUGGCAGGUCUUUCCCGGCUUGUCUCCUUCCCACCUUACCCCUCGUCUCAUCUGUGGUUGGGGUGAGCUGUGCGGCGUCUUCGUCUUCGUCAGAGUUCAAGAGAUUGUGGUAGCCUCGGUUUCCCAAAUCUCUUACGGUGGUUCUGGGCCGUUCUGGGCUAGAUCGAAGGUUCCUGGCUGCAUCGGAGGUUUUCUGUUCUGGUGCCUUUCGUCGGAGGUCCUGAUCGGACGGAGGGGAGAGUCGACGGCGAGAGUUCUUCCUAACGGCGGACGCGUUGUUUUAGGGUUUUCAUUUGGUUUGAUUCCGGUUUGUUUUUUUUGUUUGGUUCGCUUUUUUCAAUUUCUUUUGUUUCUGGUUAGCCCGAUUUUCCAGACCCAUUCGGAUUUAGUUUGGGUUUGUAAUCCGGUUUAUUAAUAUAAUAUUAAAAAAAAAAACUAAGCAUAUAAAUAUAGGCAAUAAAAACGAGAGACGCUGUUACUAUUGAAUAAUUAGAUUAUACGUAUAGGUUAUGUCAAACUACAUGCUUGAAUAAUUAGAUUAUACGUCUUCAAGUCACCAGAUUCCAGCCAGAUUACUCCUUGUCAGCAAUCCUGCCAAACAUAUGAACAUACCCAAAAAGAUAAGCACACUAGGAAAUGUAGAGAGAGAAAGAGAUUGAGAUUGUUCAUGGGUUAUUAUUAGUUUACCUGAGCUCUGACAACUUUUGAUGAGCUUCCUC
rnacentral:lncRNA from 1 species